rnacentral:rRNA from 1 species
GACGAACGCUGGCGGCGUGCUUAACACAUGCAAGUCGAACGGAAAGGCCCCUUUGGGGGUACUCGAGUGGCGAACGGGUGAGUAACACGUGAGUAACCUGCCCUUGACUUCGGGAUAACUUCAGGAAACUGGGGCUAAUACCGGAUAGGAAUCCUUGCUGCAUGGUGGGGGUUGGAAAGCUUCGGCGGUUUUGGAUGGACUGGCGGCUUGUCGGCUUGUUGGUGGGGUGGUGGCUUACCAAGGCUUUGACGGGUAGCCGGCCUGAGAGGGCGACCGGCCACAUUGGGACUGAGAUACGGCCCAGACGCCGACGGGAGGCAGCAGUGGGGAAUAUUGCACAAGGGGCGCAAGCCGGAUGCAGCAACGCCGCGGGCGGGAUGACGGCCUUCGGGUUGUAAACCGCUUUCAGCAGGGGCGAAGCUUGUGGUGACGGUACCUGCAGAAGAAGCACCGGCUAACUACGUG